GGAUGCCUUAGAUACGGCGAGUGAAGCGGCAAAAGCUCAAAUUUGAAAUCUGGUACCUUCGGUGCCCGAGUUGUAAUUUGGAGAGGGCAACUUUGGGGCCGUUCCUUGUCUAUGUUCCUUGGAACAGGACGUCAUAGAGGGUGAGAAUCCCGUGUGGCGAGGAGUGCGGUUCUUUGUAAAGUGCCUUCGAAGAGUCGAGUUGUUUGGGAAUGCAGCUCUAAGUGGGUGGUAAAUUCCAUCUAAAGCUAAAUAUUGGCGAGAGACCGAUAGCGAACAAGUACAGUGAUGGAAAGAUGAAAAGAACUUUGAAAAGAGAGUGAAAAAGUACGUGAAAUUGUUGAAAGGGAAGGGCAUUUGAUCAGACAUGGUGUUUUGUGCCCUCUGCUCCUUGUGGGUAGGGGAAUCUCGCAUUUCACUGGGCCAGCAUCAGUUUUGGUGGCAGGAUAAAUCCAUAGGAAUGUAGCUUGCCUCGGUAAGUAUUAUAGCCUGUGGGAAUACUGCCAGCUGGGACUGAGGACUGCGACGUAAGUCAAGGAUGCUGGCAUAAUGGUUAUAUGCCGCCCGUCUUGAAACACGGACCAAUG
rnacentral:rRNA from 1 species